UCCUUCUCUUAUCAUGCAAGCUCAUCCACACUCCCCCUCAAGCUUGAGACCGAGUAUAGGAAAGGUCCAAGCUUGAUAGUGAGCGCAUGUUAGCUCCAUGAUAAGCCUUGUGGAGAGCACCUCCAUCUCUUUCAGACUUGAUGCUUGAAUCCUCCACUACAUCACCAUUGCACUGAGGAGAUACCUCAGCCCACUCUCCAAGCAUCUCACACUAGCUUGUUGAGUGACUUUCUUCUUCCCUCCACUUCGGCUGGAUCACUCCAUGAUCAGCUUGCAAUGGCCUUGACUAACACAGGUCAUUGAGCAACAGGAUCAUCAGGUGGCUCACUUUGCUCCCCUCCUCAAGCUUGGAUUGAGUAUGGGUCCAAGCUUGAAGUGAGCCUCAAUGAGCCUUAAGAUCAGGAGCGCAACAUCUCAUAGAGUGCGCUUCAACCACUGAUCAACCCUUCCCUUUAUCUCCAAUGCCUUCUGGUCACCGGUCUCCUCUAGACUUAGGUGAUGACCACUCGCCUUGUGUAUCCACACACACACCACAGCGACCAUUCCCAAUGGGUAAAGUCUUCCUCUUCUGCUCGGAUUGGUGAUGGACAGAGAGCACAUCUUGUGAACCUGAAACAUCACUCAAACUCCAGCAAAGAUAAGACACAAGCAUUGGGAUCAAUCCUUGACUAAUCAUCAAGUUUGAUCUCCAAUGUCACAAGCUAUGCAACAGAUUGAAACAAGCAUUAUCAAGUUCACAUCUUUGCAAGCAAUCUCUCUAAGUACAAGCAAGAUCAAAUCAGAUUCAAGACAAGCUACUUAGGCAAUCAACCCUGCCUUAAUCCGCAAUCAUAGACAUCCAUCUAUGUGCUCAAUGUUAAGGCAGCAACAAGAUGACAAUAUGCUGUGACCUUAAUCAGUUUCUAGCUCAUGUAUGCAAUAAGAUCAGCCAAUGCUUUCUAUUAUCCUAACACACAUCACUUAUAACUGAGGCAAAGCAAUAUUAAUCAUCAAUCAACAUCAGACAAUGCAAAACCUUAAGUGAUUUCAGUUUAAUGAAAGCUAAUAGGAUUUAGACAGUUUCUAACAUCCUAGCACAAUCAUAACCAAACCGGGUAAGCAUUUUAUUUCUCAACAUCAAACAAGACUCUUAAAGCAUCCUGGGACUGAACUAGACAAUAUAAUAUAGCAUUUCAUAUCAAGAACCCACGGAUUGCAACACUACACAACACAACACACAACCAGUUUCAAUCACAAGCUCAUAUCAAGAAGGUUUAGGAUUAGCUUACAACCAAGGAACCUGAGCUGGUUCCUUGAGCCUCCUUGGUUAUAGGUCACGAAUCUGAUGGGUAAGAGAGCUGGAUCGUCACCCAACACCCUCUCCUUGUGUUCAUAACCUUCUCCUUGAAACCACAACUCAAAAGGCUCCACCUUUCUUCACAGCUCCAAGUCACCAACUUCAGGAACAAGGGGAAAGCUUUCUUCUUGAAUGGUUUCAGCUUGGACCAGAGUUGAGACACACCUUUAAUGGACUGGAGAGAGGAGGCACGACCAUGAUAAACCUCCUUGGCUUCAUACACCUUCUUCUUGAAGAGAGAGAACCAAAAGGACAGAUCUUCAAUGGCUUGGAUUUGAGAUGAGACUAGGCUUGUGAUGUAUAUGCGGAAGCUGGAACCAAGUUCUGAUGAACCUGGCUCUGAUACCAUGUUAGGUUUUCAGAGCUCAGGCUGUGUGUGUGAGAAGAAGCCACUAAGGGCGAAAUGAGAGCUUGAACUGAAGAGAGAAAGGUCUGAUGAAGAACAGUAUGAACUUGGACAGAAACAAGAGAUUUAGAGAGAUUAAGAGAUUUAAGUAUAAGAAAGGGGUAGUUUGAGGGAUUCUUAUCCAAGAACACACUUUGUAUUAUGAAGGAGGAGGGGAAAUCCCCCUCUCUCUCUUGAGAGACACAAAAACGUCCAUACAUAGCUUAUUUAUAAGCUUUACACAUUGCAAACUCAUAAACCCUUAAUCUAAUGGAUAGAAAUGACUGAAUUGAAAUAGUGGCUAGGAUGGAGUCUGGUGGGUUGCUGAGGACGUGAUGGAUGCUGAUUGUAUGAUUCAAACUGGUCAAAGCAAGGGCUGGCUCCUGAUUGGUUCCCUUAAGGCUCCCAUGAACCUUAUUCACAAAGAUGGCUAGAUACAUGGUCAAGGCUGCUUUUCCUUUACAGCUCAAAGACAGCCUGUCAUUGACCACGCCCUAGCUCUCCCUUAUCCACAAACAGUCACAAGAUAACUCAGGUUUGUCUUCUCUUGCGCCCUAAGUUUGCACAGCUUCAUUUCAGGUUGAUCCGGAACAAGUACGGUCGAUGGUACGGACCGCCUGUCCGUACCUCUCCUUAUUUUUGCACCAACUCCCAAUCUUCUCAAAUGGUUGAGUCUGAACAUGAUCUUGGUUGCCCUAAGUUCGUACGGUCCGUACCAUCCGUACCGAUGCUCGACCCUAUUUCUGCACCAUCACCCAACUGACUCCAAAUGGUGUCUAAGUAUGUCUAAGUCCCUCCUGGACUUGACCCUAACUUUGCACACCUCAUUUGGAUACUUCUGGACACUCAUGAACACUCCUAAAGCCUUGAUAGACAAUCUCCGGAGGUCUUGCCCUAUUCUUGCUCAAGACCCAAACUCAACCCAACUCCUCCAUUGGCUCCAUUUCUUUCUUCAAGUCAACACUCCCCCUCAAGCUUGACUCUAGGUGAUCCUAAGCCAAGCUUGGAACCUUGAAGAACUCUCUCGUUAAAAACCUCACCAAGGAAAACCCUUUGGGACAAAACCUUGAUGAGGGAAAAAGAGUAGAGCCUUCAAAGCCUAGGGAUUGGCCAGUGAGCCUAUGUGCCUUAGUAUCACUGAGGUUUAGGCACAUAGGCUCUGGAUCACGGCCUCUUCACUUCACCACACCUUCUUAGACUCUUCUAUAGAACCGGCGUAGUGUCUCCCCCUUUCACCUGACUUCAUGCCAUCUUGAAAGGCUAGGAACGACCUGAUCCUCUCCAUUGAGUCUCCAAGUAAGGUACCUGAUACAUCAUUCCACAAGUGUAUCAGUUCUCAAGAGAUAAACCUAUCAUGAAUGAAUAUAAAGAGAUUGAUCAGGUUUACUCCCUUGUUUAAAUGUUGUGGAGUGGCUGCUCUUCACACACCACUUGAAUCCCUCACUUGCUGAGCUUAACAGCUCCUUCUCUUAUCAUGCAAGCUCAUCCACACUCCCCCUCAAGCUUGAGACCGAGUAUAGGAAAGGUCCAAGCUUGAUAGUGAGCGCAUGUUAGCUCCAUGAUAAGCCUUGUGGAGAGCACCUCCAUCUCUUUCAGACUUGAUGCUUGAAUCCUCCACUACAUCACCAUUGCACUGAGGAGAUACCUCAGCCCACUCUCCAAGCAUCUCACACUAGCUUGUUGAGUGACUUUCUUCUUCCCUCCACUUCGGCUGGAUCACUCCAUGAUCAGCUUGCAAUGGCCUUGACUAACACAGGUCAUUGAGCAACAGGAUCAUCAGGUGGCUCACUUUGCUCCCC
rnacentral:lncRNA from 1 species